UUGGCUUAAACUCAAUGAGUAAGGAAACUAACGCUCUACUUGACACGUAGAGCUCCGUAGCAGACUCAGCUGUCUGCUCGGGCUUUUCAAUUUUUAACGGAGUUGGAAUGGCCUUUUUAUGGAGAUCGAGGAACGCUGUCGCCCUCGUACUUUAGCAGGAAGGCAGUGAACUUUUGUUUUCCA
rnacentral:snRNA from 1 species